rnacentral:rRNA from 1 species
CUACGGGGCGCUGCAGUGGGGAAUAUUGGACAAUGGGCGAAAGCCUGAUCCAGCCACGCCGCGUGGGUGAUGAAGGCCUUCGGGUUGUAAAGCCCUGUCGAGGGGGAAGAAGUUCUGACGGUACCCCUCAAGAAAGCACCGGCUAACUCCGUGCCAGCAGCCGCGGUAAUACGGAGGGUGCAAGCGUUGCUCGGAAUCACUGGGCGUAAAGCGCACGCAGGCGGCUUGCCAAGUCGGAUGUGAAAGCCCCGGGCUCAACCCGGGAACUGCAUUCGAAACUGGCAGACUUGAGUCCGAGAGAGGGGGGUGGAAUUCCUGGUGUAGAGGUGAAAUUCGUUGAUAUCAGGAGGAACACCGGCGGCGAAGGCGGCUACCUGGCUCGGUACUGACGCUCAUGUGCGAAAGCGUGGGGAGCAAACAGGAUUAGAUACCCCAGUAGUC